CGACCCUCUGGAUCAGCGAGGAGUACGCAUGCGUAGAUAAAAGUAAAUAAACGCUCUCAUGAAUGAAUGGAGAAAAUGGGUUAAAUGAGAAUAAAUAAUGGAACGCAGAGAGAUGAUGAAGCUAAGGUUCAAACCAAUGACAAGCCUGAAGCCACAUGGCUAGUGAGUGGGACUUCAGUCAAGAAAGCCCAGUAGUACCUAAGUUAACUA